GUAUCUUUAAGAUAAAUUUACAAGCAGUGUUUUGUUAUUGACUGUAAAAUGACAGGUAAGUCUCAUUAUCCGUGGAUAUCAAGGGUUUCUACAAAUGGUAACCAUCAGGUUAAAUUUAAAAUUACGAAACAUCUGGAGCCUGCUUGUGGGAUAAGUAUAGAAACUACUGGUAUAUGAAAUAAAAUACAGUAGAACCUCGGAACUCGAACUUAAUGCGUUCGAGAUCCAAUUUGUUCGAGAACCGAAUCAACAUUUCCCAUAAGAAUUAAUAU